CAACAAUGGGGGUGGCAAGUGGAAUCAGGUGACAGCACUUGGACGUUACAAGCUGCAGCGAGACAGGAGUAACGGGACUAUGGAUAAAUGAAUGCAUUCAAAUCCGACCAAUGAGAAGUGAGAAAUAUCCAUGAGUCUCCUCCUGGGUGUUACUGCUGAGGCCGAAGGAUUGUGAUUCGACCACUCGACGGGUACUUGAAAUGUUUCGACGCUCUCAAUUAAAGUAAGGAUAUAGGGUUCAUAGGGAUUGCAAGCGACAGCCAUUACAUUGUGCUCAAAGUGUCCCGAUGAUACUUUCAAAGAAGGCCUUAGCGGACAGAAGCAGUGCUCUGCCUGUACAAAGUGUGUCACAGGUCAGAUAGUGAAGAAGUCAUGUACUCCAACAUCAGAUGCUGAGUGUGAGAUCCAGGAUGGAUUCUUCUGUAGUGACUCAGCAGAUAAAGACACAUUCUCAGAGGCCACAUUGUCAUGCCAACCCCACACGAUAUGUGAUUCUGUGGGAGGGGUGCAGAUACAACAAGGAACUGAUUCCACUGAUUCUACAUGUCUUAAAUAUGUGGCAAUUGCGUUCAUAAUAAUAGGAUGCAUAUGUUUCAUCAUUUUGUUAGUCCUGGGAG
ensembl:lncRNA